AGAGAGAGUGAGGGAAAAGAUGAAGGAGAUUGAAAGUUGAUUCAAGAAUGCUCGAUUGAGAGGUUUUUGUGAGACUUUCAUUUUUUUGAUGUGUAGAGUGAUGUAGAUUCAAGAUGAAGAAGAUGAUUGAUGAAGGAUUGUUUUUCUGUUAUCUGUGGUGAAUUGUGAUUGAAGAAUCGAUAGAGAUUCAUGAUUUUGCGAUGAAAAUUUGAAGUUGCAGCGAUGGUGAAUCCAGAGAGAAAGAUGAAGAUGAAGAUGAGCAAUAAAGUUCCGGAAAAAGUUUGUUACAGGUGUGGAGAAGAAGAUCAAGAAGGUUGAGAUGAGUGAAUAUCGGAGAAGAUUGAGGAUUGCAGAAGUUGAAUAUGGUUUCGAGAGAGUUUUUGUGGGGGGUGAAGAUGAAGGUUCAGCCCCCUCACUCGUAUUGCAGGAUGUAGCUUUUGUUUUAUGAGAUGAUGCGGUUUUGACGGUUUGAAGUGCAGGAUUUUUGGUUCUUCUGUUGUGAACUGUGUAACUUGUUUUUUUGUGGAAUUGUAAUUUUUGGACAUUUGAAUGAAAUAUGAGCGUAACAUUGUGAGCCUUGUAGCAAUCCUUAUGAACAACUCAAUAGUUUUGCAAGUUUAAAACUUUAUACAAUCUUGAACAAAAUUCGAGGUUAUGGAAACACCCGAAUCAACUUCAAAUUCAA